rnacentral:rRNA from 1 species
UACGUAGGGUCCGAGCGUUGUCCGGAAUUAUUGGGCGUAAAGGGCUCGUAGGCGGUCCGUCACGUCGGGAGUGAAAACUCAGGGCUCAACCCUGAGCGUGCUUCCGAUACGGGCGGACUAGAGGUAUGCAGGGGAGAACGGAGUUCCUGGUGUAGCGGUGGAAUGCGCAGAUAUCGAGAGGAACACCUGCGGCGAAGGCGGGUUGCUGGGCUGACACUGACGCUGAUGCGCGAAAGCCAGGGGAGCGAACGGG